UCAUGCAAACUGUGAGGGAGGUGCUUAACCGGUGCUUAGAGAACUACCUGGGAUGCUUUACAAGCGAUAUUCCAAAGGAAUGGGAACAUUGGUUACCAUGGGCAGAAUAGUGGUACAAUACCACUUAUCAUUCGGAAACCAAACAAAGAGCGUUUGAAGUGGUAUAUAGGCGCCAACCACCUCUAAUUAGGUCCUAUACUCAUUAGACUGACAAAGUGCAUCAAGUUGAUUGCGACUUACGCUAGGGACUGUGUUUGCAACUUUGAAAGGAGCUCACUACCAGGACGGACGGGUAUAAGCGAUUAGCGAUAAGCUAUAGUUUUUCAAAAAACUAGAACCAUACCGCUUUGAACAGAGUCUCCCUCUUUGACUAGUGCUACCUCCGGUGAAAGGAAUGAAGAUCUUGCAUAUAGGCAACCGACUGACGUAUACAAACAGAAAAAAUAAGCAACUAAAAAAGCGAGUGGGUUGACGAAUCGUUGCUUUACACAAAUAGCUAAUAUUACUUGAGUUGUAAGUAAAAAAAAGGCUAACCAGCUUUUGUCCAGGAAGCACAACAAAAGAAUAGUAAUAGGCAGAAGCAGUGGUAAGAAGGCCCAUCUCAAGUGAAAUAAAUAACAAUAGCAUUCAGUUGUCUUCACAACGGGGCAACAACCCUUAUUUUGCCAACUGAGGCCGCGAGCUCUAAUGUUUUUUUUGUUGGGACCACCAGAUUGAAGGAAACCUCAUGCAUGCUUUGUCACCUCUGCACUAUCUCGAUUAAUCGCCUUUUGCGCAUGCAUAAAGAUGUCUCCUUAUUUUAUAUGUCACUCGAUGACUUGAGUAGGAGCUUUCCCUUUCUUUCCCGUCUGUGCUUUUCUCUCCCUCUUUGCCUUCUUUGAAUAAAAAAGCCAGGAAGUCAGCCAGUCUGUUCUUAAUAAGGGUAAGCCAGUACGGUAAUCCUUCUUUCUAAGAGUCCUCAGCCCUAGGGUCCUCGUAGUCCAUUAGGAAGAGGGGGAACCGAAGCUCUAUGUCCUUGAAGAGAUGAUAAAAGAGAGAAAUACCGCCACGCGUACUAAAAGCGCGAUCUUGAAACUAGAAACUUUGGUUUGGAACAAAUGAGCGGAUAGGCUUGACGAAGUUUAGGAAAAAUGCAAUAAUAUAAUAAUAAAGUUUUGCCGUUCUGUCUUUCGCACGGAAGUCUGUCUGUCUUCAUUCCAAUCAUCGUAGUUCGAUCGAUCAACUACGCCCAUCCAAUCUAACCAUCUCUCCUGAAGCCCUUUAUUUUGCCGUUCAGUCUUUCGCACGGAAGUCUGUCUGUCUUCAUUCCAAUCAUCGUAGUUCAAUCGAUCAACUACGCCCAUCCAAUCUAACCAUCUCUCCUGAAGCCCUUUCCCUUCUAGUAGCCCUUCAUCGUUAUUGAAACAUAGGUCCUCGGCAGGCGGGAACAAAAAGAGAAAGAAGAAGAUAGAAAGGUUCGGUCCCAGUUGGUCUCGUCUAUGGAUUUUCUUUCCCUAUCCUAUUGUCGAGACGAAUGUUAAACAUAGGUCCUCGGCAGGCGGGAAGAAAAAGAGAAAGAAGAAGAUAAAAAGGUUAGGUCCCAGUUGGUCUCGUCAAUGGAUUUUCUUUCCCUAGCCUAUUGUCGAGACGAAUGUGGCCAUACCCAGAGGACUAUCGCUUCAGCAAGACGACUUUUUAGUCAGAUCCUUCCUGCGCUUUGGAUAUGAAGAAUUUGAUCGAUCGAUUUAAGAAAGAUGAAAAAACAAAGGCCCCCUCUUUCUCCAGAACUUGGACUCAAUCCACAUCCCUUGCUUGAACCUUCUAGACCGAACUCAAUUCAAUAAAGUUUCCCCGUCCGAUAGGUGCUAUAUAUAGUGGGCGAUUUACCUAGUAUUCAGCAUUCUAGAAGCAACUUCUUUAUUCUACUCGCUACCGGUUGGGUCUUAUUAAUCUACAAUAAUCGAUAAGAAAAUCACUGCCGCUGUCAGCUACAGACCCAAAGUAGGACCUAAACAAUGAACUCUUCUCUUUGGCAACAAACAAUCAAACUCAAACCUUUAUGAAGACGAGCAUACGAUGUGACUUGAACCACGCCCUCACUUCACGUCUUCUGACAGCGGUUAGAACGGCAAUGACUCUAUCUUUCUCCUCUGAUUCCUAUCGAGUUGCCCAAAGGCUUCUCUUCUGACUGUGCUCGUUGGGGCAUUAAGCCUAGGGUCAAUCUGACCCUUGCCGCAGGCUCCCCCUGAGUCUUUCUAUAUGUGACUUGAACCCCGCCCUCAGUUCACGUCUUCUGACAGAGGUUAGAACGGCAAUGACUCUAUCUUUCUCCUCUGAUUCCUAUCGAGUUGCCCAAAGGCUUCUCUUCUGACUGUGCUCGUUGGGGCAUUAAGCCUAGGGUCAAUCUGACCCUUGCCGCAGGCUCCCCCUGAGUCUUUCUUUUGGUGUGACUGUUUUUCUAUCAAUAUCCGGUGAUCAAGAAGAGAAUGCCGUAAUGGAAUGGGCGAGGCCUAUUCUCAUCUCUUCCCCUCAUCCAGUUCCUAGUUUCUAAGCUACUGAUGAAUCUAGCUAUGAGGGAUUCCUCAUCUCAUACAUCAGGGUCGAAACGAAAGAAGACAGGAUAGACUUUGAUACCUCAACUUGAUUUGUUGAUUGCUUCUUUGGUUGAUUGAUUCUUGAAGACAAGCAUACAGACAGUGACACAGAUCCAUUUCUGCUUUCAUUUCCUGCUAGUUUGGUUGCACUUGGGCUUAAAAGCGACUUUCCAAUCUUAAGGCUAUUGGUAUUGCUUCAACCCACUUGGUGAAGUAGUCUUACGCGGUGAUAACAAAAUGGUGACCAUGACUAGAAGGGAAAGGCGGAGGUACGAAAGAGGGUUCGCUAAUCAGAUUUCCACUCAUAGAAAGCCUGAAGUUCGUCCUCAACUGCUAACAGUUCCAAAUGCCGAAGCAGGGAAGAAGAAGUGGUAUCUGUUGAUGAAUUGCCAUUGCAUGGAUCUCCCUCCACAGCUUCUAUUCGCAGAUGCGGAUAUUUCCGGGUGAUUGAAUAUGACUCAUUAAAAUUAGUAAGGCUCAACCUUAGCGGGCUCCUUCACUUCAUGCCUUUGCUCUAGCGGAAUGAAUAUCUAUACCGGGCUUUCUUUUUUUAGGCAGUCGAGCAUCAGAUCUAUUUCUUUGCUGGCCAGUUCUUAAGCAUUCUCUGAGUGUUGGAAGUACGUCACACUCCUCUCCAGGCCAAAAGAAGUGUGAUCUCAAUCAGGUCCUUUUAUAGCCCCUUCCAGCCAAGCCAGUUGGAGUGGUACCGAUCGAGUCAGGCGCAUUUCUCUCAACCACGAGGUAGAUUGGAAAGGAAAUUCGCACAUUGAUCUCUCUCAUUGAUUCAGGAAAACUUCUUCUCUUGAUAGAGGGCUAGCCUCGCCACAGUCAACGACUGAGGAAAGCCGGUCUGUGGCAGUCAACAAGCAGCACUUGUCAUAGGAGCGAACCCUACCCUCUUCAGUCAAAUAGGGACGAGCUUGUCAACAAGCAGCACUUGUCAUAAGAGGGAACCCUACCCUCUUCAGUCAAAUAGGGACGAGCUCUAUCCAUUGUCCCCAGAGUUGACCGACGAUGUGAAGGAGAAGAAUGCUACUCUAUAAUCGGUACAGUCCUCUUUCUGAAAGCGCUCUGCCCAGCUUAGCGCAUGGAAGGGCGAGUCGUUCUGUUAGGGUAGGGGUCACGCCCUAGAAAGGUCUGAGGCAACGAGAUCAACUGCUGACCCAAGAAGGUAGGGAAGAGACGAGGAAGGGCUAAUCCCCGAGUCAGGGGCAUCUAUCUUUAUUUACGCAAAGCAAAGCUAUUUAUUGAUGUCGAUUUAGAUAUGUUCAUUGGCCUGCGACUGAUCUCAUCGUCUGUUUUCCCCAAGUUGUUCUGUUAGGGUAGGGGUCACGCCCUAGAAAGGUCUAAGGCAACAACAUCAACUGCUGACCCAAGAAGGUAGGGAAGAGACGAGGAAGGGCUAAUCCCCGAGUCAGGGGCAUCUAUCUUUAUUUACGCAAAGCAAAGCUAUUUAUUGAUGUCGAUUUAGAUAUGUUCAUUGGCCUGCGACUGAUCUCAUCGUCUGUUUUCCCCCUCUUUCUUAUUCAAGAGUUCUCCUCCCUAACGACACACCAAUGUGAACAGUUCAUUCAAACUUGUAUGUGUGAAGCAUAUUGAAAGUGACAUUGACAAAGCAAAGCACUGAUUCCCUAGAAUGUUAGAACUCAGACAUGACAGAGAAGGUAGUCAAAAACGGUACGCUAAGCUCGGAGGAGCUUAACCGGUGCUUAGAGAACUACCUGGUAUGCUUUACAAGCGAUAUUCCAAAGGAAUGGGAACAUUGGUUACCAUGGGCAGAAUAGUGGUACAAUACCACUUAUCAUUCGGAAACCAAACAAAGAGCGUUUGAAGUGGUAUAUAGGCGCCAACCACCUCUAAUUAGGUCCUAUACUCAUUAGUCCGACAAAGUGCAUCAAGUUGAUUGCGACUUACGCUAGGGAUUGUGUUUGCAACUUUGAAAGGAGCUCACUAUCAGGACGGAC
rnacentral:lncRNA from 1 species